rnacentral:rRNA from 1 species
AGUGAACGCUGGCGGUAGGCCUAACACAUGCAAGUCGAACGGCAGCACAGUAAGAGCUUGCUCUUACGGGUGGCGAGUGGCGGACGGGUGAGGAAUACAUCGGAAUCUACUUUUUCGUGGGGGAUAACGUAGGGAAACUUACGCUAAUACCGCAUACGACCUACGGGUGAAAGCAGGGGAUCUUCGGACCUUGCGCGAUUGAAUGAGACGAUGUCGGAUUAGCUAGUUGGCGGGGUAAAGGCCCACCAAGGCGACGAUCCGUAGCUGGUCUGAGAGGAUGAUCAGCCACACUGGAACUGAGACACGGUCCAGACUCCUACGGGAGGCAGCAGUAGGGAAUAUUGGACAAUGGGCGCAAGCCUGAUCCAGCCAUACCGCGUGGGUGAAGAAGGCCUUCGGGUUGUAAAGCCCUUUUGUUGGGAAAGAAAAGCAGCAGGUUAAUACCCCGCUGUUCUGACGGUACCCAAAGAAUAAGCACCGGCUAACUUCGUG